CGGCGUGCCUAAUACAUGCAAGUCGAACGCUUCUUUUCCCACCGGAGCUUGCUCCACCGGGAAAAGAGGAGUGGCGAACGGGUGAGUAACACGUGGGUAACCUGCCCAUCAGAAGGGGAUAACACUUGGAAACAGGUGCUAAUACCGUAUAACAAUCGAAACCGCAUGGUUUCGUUUUGAAAGGCGCUUUACGGUGCCGCUGAUGGAUGGACCCGCGGUGCAUUAGCUAGUUGGUGAGGUAACGGCUCACCAAGGCCACGAUGCAUAGCCGACCUGAGAGGGUGAUCGGCCACAUUGGGACUGAGACACGGCCCAAACUCAUACGGGAGGCAGCAGUAGGGAAUCUUCGGCAAUGGACGAAAGUCUGACCGAGCAACGCCGCGUGAGUGAAGAAGGUUUUCGGAUCGUAAAACUCUGUUGUUAGAGAAGAACAAGGGUGAGAGUAACUGUUCACCCCUUGACGGUAUCUAACCAGAAAGCCACGGCUAACUACGUGCCAGCAGCCGCGGUAAUACGUAGGUGGCAAGCGUUGUCCGGAUUUAUUGGGCGUAAAGCGAGCGCAGGCGGUUUCUUAAGUCUGAUGUGAAAGCCCCCGGCUCAACCGGGGAGGGUCAUUGGAAACUGGGAGACUUGAGUGCAGAAGAGGAGAGUGGAAUUCCAUGUGUAGCGGUGAAAUGCGUAGAUAUAUGGAGGAACACCAGUGGCGAAGGCGGCUCUCUGGUCUGUAACUGACGCUGAGGCUCGAAAGCGUGGGGAGCAAACAGGAUUAGAUACCCUGGUAGUCCACGCCGUAAACGAUGAGUGCUAAGUGUUGGAGGGUUUCCGCCCUUCAGUGCUGCAGCUAACGCAUUAAGCACUCCGCCUGGGGAGUACGACCGCAAGGUUGAAACUCAAAGGAAUUGACGGGGGCCCGCACAAGCGGUGGAGCAUGUGGUUUAAUUCGAAGCAACGCGAAGAACCUUACCAGGUCUUGACAUCCUUUGACCACUCUAGAGAUAGAGCUUCCCCUUCGGGGGCAAAGUGACAGGUGGUGCAUGGUUGUCGUCAGCUCGUGUCGUGAGAUGUUGGGUUAAGUCCCGCAACGAGCGCAACCCUUAUUGUUAGUUGCCAUCAUUUAGUUGGGCACUCUAGCAAGACUGCCGGUGACAAACCGGAGGAAGGUGGGGAUGACGUCAAAUCAUCAUGCCCCUUAUGACCUGGGCUACACACGUGCUACAAUGGGAAGUACAACGAGUCGCGAAGUCGCGAGGCUAAGCUAAUCUCUUAAAGCUUCUCUCAGUUCGGAUUGUAGGCUGCAACUCGCCUACAUGAAGCCGGAAUCGCUAGUAAUCGCGGAUCAGCACGCCGCGGUGAAUACGUUCCCGGGCCUUGUACACACCGCCCGUCACACCACGAGAGUUUGUAACACCCGAAGUCGGUGAGGUAACCUUUUUGGAGCCAGCCGCCUAAGGUGGGAUAGAUGAUUGGGGUGAAGUCGU
rnacentral:rRNA from 1 species